UCAAAAAAUGCACUCUUGGUAACUUUGAACUUUAACUUUAAUACCUAAGGAACAUUUGGUUAUUGCAAUACCUAAUGCUUUUUGGAAGCUGGUUACGGUAUUCAUAGGUGAAAAAAUCUUUGUUUUUGUUUUUUAUUUAUUGAUUUUAAGUAGAUUCAUGACCUUCAUCAAUUCCUUACAUACUCCUAAUAUUAUAAAGCUUACUUGUUUUCCCAAAUUGCAUAUCCUAUGAUAGAAGUGAAAGCAUUAAAGAUUGUUAAUUUAAAGAAAUAAUAUAUUUGCAGCUGGAGAUUGGAGAUAAGAUUACAACAUGAUCUCAUGUCCUUGGUAAUCUGUAGAUUGAGGGUUUUCGCAAGGCUUUGCCCCCAAUACCAGUAAAAGAAGAAGAGUUGCCAGGCCAGCUUCCUUGUGCUCUAAAUUGUGGAGAUCACAAGUUACUGAAAUUUGUGGUCUUCAUUAGAGAAGGAUUGUUCGAUGCUCUCACUACUGGCUACAUCUUUUGCCUUUGCAACGACAUAUCUUUCAAUCCCUUCUGGUGAGAAAAGAAUAAAGAACAUAAACAAGUUGUCCCAUGAUGACUCGCAUUCCUAAGGUUCUAGUUGAUGAUGUACCUUCCUGAGAUUGAAGAGUGAGAAAUGUCAAAGACAUCCCUUAUUUGAGUGAGGCCUUCAAAGUCUCCUCACUCUCAAACAACUCAUGAUUGAUGGUAUACUUUAAGAUGUAUUUCUUCUCAGAUGGCCAACCCUUUCUUCCAAUGUAUCUGAUGUAUAUUUUCAUGUAAAGAUUCCAUAAUCCAUGACUUCCCUACAUCACCAAGACCUCACCUAAGCUCUAGUGGUAUUUGGCAACUGAAGGAGAAACCUGCCAUGGUUUCAGAGCUAUACAUCAGUUCUAAAUCCAAUGAUGAGACAUCAGUUCAAGAUUGCCCACAGGUUCUAUUUGUAAAUAGACGGAGAGAUUCAUCUUUGAUCCAUAAUAGUUUGGAUUCCAAAAAUGGAAGCAGGUGGAGUUCACCCUAUUCUAUCCAUAUAUUCAAUAAGUUUCAUCUAUUCCCAACACAUUAUUCUUACAUUUUAUCUUCUUUUUAUGAUUAUAAAUUGUCAUACUGUUGAAAUUUUCUACAAGUUAAGCUAUUAAAGAAUCCCUACACUGAACCUUUUUGUUGAAAAAUUGACUAGGGGACAACUUCUGAUAGCAGUUACAAGCUUUAAGGCUUCACAUUUUCUAUUCAAAGUUUGUUUCUCUUAUUGGUCCCUCUCACAGUCCCAUGUAAGCAUCAAUGUUUUCUCUCUCCCAAUUUAGAUUUUCACACAAUAGUUUAACUAAAUUAGCAAGAUGUUUUAUUUGGUGUAUUAUUGCCGGAUUCUUUUUGUGACAGGUUGUCUAACUUCCUAUUCAUCGUGUUUCCUACUAUGUUCAAUUAUAGUGACAUGCAAUUGGAUAUCUGGAAUUUAUAUGUUGUAAUGAAUGAGAAGCUACCAAGAGGGUGCACAACUUCAAGCCUUUUAAAGAGCUAAUAAUUGAUGGUUGCAUGGCCCAAGACACGUCUCUUUUCUAGGGACAGAUUUUUCAUCCAAUGUAAGGAGGCUAAUAAUUCAAAAUUGUGUAUAGGGGCUUUACGGUUGUUACUGAUUGGAAUGAUUCACAAUUCCAGCAAUAACAAGUCUUUAGAAUUUUUUCAAA